UACGGGGGGAGCAAGCGUUGUUCGGAUUUACUGGGCGUAAAGGGCGCGUAGGCGGUCGUGACAAGUCACUUGUGAAAUCUCCGGGCUUAACUCGGAACGGUCAAGUGAUACUGUCGGACUAGAGUACAGAAGGGGCAACUGGAAUUCUCGGUGUAGCGGUGAAAUGCGUAGAUAUCGAGAGGAACACCUGCGGCGAAGGCGGGUUGCUGGGCUGAUACUGACGCUGAGGAGCGAAAGCGUGGGGAGCAAACAGG
rnacentral:rRNA from 1 species